GAUGAACGCUGGCGGCGUGCCUAAUACAUGCAAGUCGAGCGAACAGACGAGGAGCUUGAUCCUCUGACGUUAGCGGCGGACGGGUGAGUAACACGUGGAUAACCUACCUAUAAGACUGGGAUAACUUCGGAAAACCGGAGCUAAUACCGGAUAAUAUAUUGAACCGCAUGGUUCAAUAGUGAAAGACGGUUUUGCUGUCACUUAUAGAUGGAUCCGCGCCGCAUUAGCUAGUUGGUAAGGUAACGGCUUACCAAGGCAACGAUGCGUAGCCGACCUGAGAGGGUGAUCGGCCACACUGGAACUGAGACACGGUCCAGACUCCUACGGGAGGCAGCAGUAGGGAAUCUUCCGCAAUGGGCGAAAGCCUGACGGAGCAACGCCGCGUGAGUGAUGAAGGUCUUCGGAUCGUAAAACUCUGUUAUUAGGGAAGAACAAAUGUGUAAGAAACUAUGCACGUCUUGACGGUACCUAAUCAGAAAGCCACGGCUAACUACGUG
rnacentral:rRNA from 1 species